rnacentral:rRNA from 1 species
CAGUCGCCGCGGGAAUACGUAGGGUGCAAGCGUUAAUCGGAAUUACUGGGCGUAAAGCGUGCGCAGGCGGUUAUAUAAGACAGAUGUGAAAUCCCCGGGCUUAACCUGGGAACUGCAUUUGUGACUGUAUAGCUAGAGUACGGUAGAGGGGGAUGGAAUUCCGCGUGUAGCAGUGAAAUGCGUAGAUAUGCGGAGGAACACCGAUGGCGAAGGCAAUCCCCUGGGCCUGUACUGACGCUCAUGCACGAAAGCGUGGGGAGCAAACAGGAUUAGAUACCCCUGUAGUCCCUGUCUCUUAUAC